CCUCAUCACCACCGCAAUGAGAUCUACAUCUUCGUUGGCACUUUUCUUAAUCGUUUCUUUGCUGUUUAGCGCCUAUGGCCUGCCCCUUGAAAACGAGAGCGACCAAUUGCUAAAGGAUUCUAGUGAUCGAGUACAAAGAGCUAUAGCUGAAAGGGAAUCCAUUUUCGAAGAUCCAGUUGUAAAACCAAUCAAAGACCGUUCGCUUGUUCCACGGAUCCCUCCAUGUGCUAGAUAUGGUUGUGGUAAGCGAACUGUGCACAUUGGUAGAGAAAGGGAACCAUACAGUUUCUUGGAAACCAAGAUUCGUCAAUUGCAGCGUAGAAGGGAAGGUGGCAUGAUCCCGCCGUGCGCACGAUAUGGCUGUGGAAAGCGGAAAUAGAACUUCUAAAUGAUAUUAACCCAGGAUAUUAUCUCAAAAGGGGAGACGAAUCCAAAGUCGGCGAGCUGAUAGAACUUUGCGGUCUCUAGGAUAUUGAACGUUUAAAAUUCUAAGAAGAAAUAGCGAAAUACUAUGUCAAUUCAUUAAAGUUAAUAAAAAUUGUAUCUGAUUGG